UGAUCUCCCUCUUCACUCGACACCUGGUGUAUGAUGUCCAGCGGUACUCCCAACGACUUAUGAAAUGAAAAUCCUAUUUCAGAUUGGUAAAAAGGAAUUAAUAAAGGGUCGAUUGAUAUAUGGAAAUCUGAUUAUGCAAACUACUUCUAUGGAUGAAGCCAAAGAAGUCAUAAUUUUCCUGAAGCUGUAACUGAACAA